AGAGUUUGAUCAUGGCUCAGGAUGAACGCUGGCGGCGUGCCUAAUACAUGCAAGUCGAGCGAACGGACGAGAAGCUUGCUUCUCUGAUGUUAGCGGCGGACGGGUGAGUAACACGUGGAUAACCUACCUAUAAGACUGGGAUAACUUCGGGAAACCGGAGCUAAUACCGGAUAAUAUUUUGAACCGCAUGGUUCAAAAGUGAAAGACGGUCUUGCUGUCACUUAUAGAUGGAUCCGCGCUGCAUUAGCUAGUUGGUAAGGUAACGGCUUACCAAGGCAACGAUGCAUAGCCGACCUGAGAGGGUGAUCGGCCACACUGGAACUGAGACACGGUCCAGACUCCUACGGGAGGCAGCAGUAGGGAAUCUUCCGCAAUGGGCGAAAGCCUGACGGAGCAACGCCGCGUGAGUGAUGAAGGUCUUCGGAUCGUAAAACUCUGUUAUUAGGGAAGAACAUAUGUGUAAGUAACUGUGCACAUCUUGACGGUACCUAAUCAGAAAGCCACGGCUAACUACGUGCCAGCAGCCGCGGUAAUACGUAGGUGGCAAGCGUUAUCCGGAAUUAUUGGGCGUAAAGCGCGCGUAGGCGGUUUUUUAAGUCUGAUGUGAAAGCCCACGGCUCAACCGUGGAGGGUCAUUGGAAACUGGAAAACUUGAGUGCAGAAGAGGAAAGUGGAAUUCCAUGUGUAGCGGUGAAAUGCGCAGAGAUAUGGAGGAACACCAGUGGCGAAGGCGACUUUCUGUCUGUAACUGACGCUGAUGUGCGAAAGCGUGGGGAUCAAACAGGAUUAGAUACCCUGGUAGUCC
rnacentral:rRNA from 1 species